rnacentral:rRNA from 1 species
AUACGUAGGUGGCGAGCGUUGUCCGGAAUUACUGGGCGUAAAGGGCGCGUAGGCGGUUUUUUAAGUUAGAUGUGAAAACCCAGGGCUUAACUUUGGGCGUGCAUUUAAAACUGGAGAACUUGAGUGCAGGAGAGGUAAGUGGAAUUCCUAGUGUAGCGGUGAAAUGCGUAGAUAUUAGGAGGAACACCAGUGGCGAAGGCGACUUACUGGACUGUAACUGACGCUGAGGCGCGAAAGCGUGGGGAGCAAACAGGAUUAGAUACCCUGGUAGUCCACGCUGUAAACGAUGGAUACUAGGUGUGGGAGGUAUCGACCCCUUCCGUGCCGCAGUUAACGCAAUAAGUAUCCCGCCUGGGGAGUACGGCCGCAAGGUUGAA